CCUACGGGAGGCAGCAGUAGGGAAUUUUCGUCAAUGGGCGCAAGCCUGAACGAGCAAUGCCGCGUGAACGAGGAAGGUCUUCGGAUCGGAAAGUUCUGUUGAAGGGGAAAAAGAGCGGAGAGAGGAAAUGAUCGCUGAUUGAUAUUACCCUUCGAGGAAGUCACGGCUAACUACGUGCCAGCAGCCGCGGUAAUACGUAGGUGGCGAGCGUUAUCCGGAAUGAUGGGGCGUAAAGGGUGCGUAGGCGGCCUGCUAAGUCUGGAGUGAAAGGUACCGGCUCAACCGGUACAGGCUCUGGAAACUGGCGGGCUAGAGAGCAGUAGAGGGCGGUGGAACUCCAUGUGUAGCAGUACAAUGCGUAGAUAUAUGGAAGAACACCAGUGGCGAAGGCGGCCGCCUGGCCUGUUGACUGACGCUGCGGCACGAAAGCGUGGGGAGCAAAUAGGAUUAGAUACCCUUGUAGUC
rnacentral:rRNA from 1 species